ACGCCUUAAACUUAUGAGUAAGGAAAACGAUUCGGGGUGACGCCGGAAUCCUCACUGCUAAUGUAAGACAACGGGUAAAGGACGCCCCCGAGGUGACCCGCCUACUUUGCAGGAUGCCUGGGAGCCACGAUCUGCCUG
ensembl:snRNA U12 U12 minor spliceosomal RNA